rnacentral:rRNA from 1 species
CAAUAGCGUAUAUUAAAGUUGUUGCGGUUAAAAAGCUCGUAGUUGGAUUUCUGCCGAGGACGACCGGUCCGCCCUCCGGGUGAGUAUCUGGCUCGGCCUGGGCAUCUUCUUGGAGAACGUAGCUGCACUUGGCUGUGUGGUGCGGUAUUCAGGACUUUUACUUUGAGGAAAUUAGAGUGUUUCAAGCAGGCACACGCCUUGAAUACAUUAGCAUGGAAUAAUAAGAUAGGACCUCGGUUCUAUUUUGUUGGUUUCUAGAUCUGAGGUAAUGAUUAAUAGGGAUAGUUGGGGGCAUUCGUAUUUAACUGUCAGAGGUGAAAUUCUUGGAUUUGUUAGAGACGGACUACUGCGAAAGCAUUUGCCAAGGAUGUUUUCAUUGA